rnacentral:rRNA from 1 species
GACGAACGCUGGCGGCGUGCCUAAUACAUGCAGGUUGAGCGCUGAAGGUUGGUACUUGUCCCGACUGGAUGAGCAGCGAACGGGUGAGUAACGCGUGGGGAAUCUGCCUUUGAGCGGGGGACAACAUUUGGAAACGAAUGCUAAUACCGCAUAAAAACUUUAAACACAAGUUUUAAGUUUGAAAGAUGCAAUUGCAUCACUCAAAGAUGAUCCCGCGUUGUAUUAGCUAGUUGGUGAGGUAAAGGCUCACCAAGGCGAUGAUACAUAGCCGACCUGAGAGGGUGAUCGGCCACAUUGGGACUGAGACACGGCCCAAACUCCUACGGGAGGCAGCAGUAGGGAAUCUUCGGCAAUGGACGAAAGUCUGACCGAGCAACGCCGCGUGAGUGAAGAAGGGUUUCGGAUCGUAAAACUCUGUUGGUAGAGAAGAACGUUGGUGAGAGUGGAAAGCUCAUCAAGUGACGGUAACUACCCAGAAAGGGACGGCUAACUACGUG